rnacentral:rRNA from 1 species
GAUGAACGCUGGCGGCGUGCCUAACACAUGCAAGUCGAGCGCUUCACCUCGGCGAAGGGUGGCGAACGGGUCAGAAACGCGAGUGUAACCUGCCUUGCACACAUGCAUAACAUAGCUAACGUUAUACUAAUACGACUAAUUCCGCUUGUAUUGCUUCGUAUAAAAAACCAAGCAUCAGCGGUAAAGGACGGAAGUGCGGCUGAUUCAAGAGUUGGUAAGGUAACGGCUUACCAAGGGUGCGAUCAGUAGCCGACAUGAGGACGUGGUCUAUCACAUUGGAACUGGGAGACGGUCGGAACUCCUACGGAAGGCAGCAGUGGGGAAUACUGCACGAUGCGCGGAAGACGGAUGCAGCAGCGCCGCGUGAGCCAUGCGGGCGUUCGGAUCGUAAAGUGCUGUAAUCAAGGAAGAUAUUGACGGUACUUGAGAAGGAAGCCCCGGCUAACUACGUG